UACGUAGGGUGCAAGCGUUUGUCCGGAAUUAUUGGGCGUAAAGAGCUUGUAGGCGGUUUGUCGCGUCUGCUGUGAAAUUUCGGGGCUCAACCCCGAACUUGCAGUGGGUACGGGCAGACUAGAGUGUGGUAGGGGAGACUGGAAUUCCUGGUGUAGCGGUGAAAUGCGCAGAUAUCGGGAGGAACACCGGUGGCGAAGGCGGAUCUCGUGGGCCGAGUACUGACGCUGAGGAGCGAAAGCGUGGGGAGCGAACAGG
rnacentral:rRNA from 1 species